CUAUGUGGGUGUUGCCAAAGGAGAUUAACAUUUGAGUCAGUGGGCUGGGGAAGGCAGAUCCACCCUCAAUCUGGUGGGCACAAUCUAACCAGCUUCCAGAGAAUAUAAAGCAGACAGAAAAACAUGAAAAGGAGAGAUGGGCUGAGCCUCCCAGCCUACAUCUUUCUCCCGUCCUGGAUGCUUCCUGCCCUUGAACAUCGGACUCCAAGUUCUUCACUUUUGGGACUCGGACUGGCUCUCCUUGCUCCUCAGCUUGUAGCCUAUCAUGGGACCUUGUGAUUGGGAGUUGAGUAUCCGUUCGAAGCAUCAUCAAUUGAAAUCGCCCUGGAAUCACCUGUGACUAAACAAGGGAAAUGAGUAUAGACUACAAAGUGUGAUAAACUCACAGCCUUAUUGAGAGAAAAGAACAAAACAAAACAUACAGCAUCCGCUCUCAGGUGAGCUCUACAUGGGCAGAGAUCCCGUAGAGAGUUCUGCAGGCUGUACAGGAAGCACGGCACUGGCAUAUGCAUCUGGUGAGGACUUCAGGCUGCUUCUACUCAUGAUGGAAAGCAAAGGGGGACAGGCACGGUGGCUCACUCCUGUAAUCCCAGCACUUUGGGAGGCCAAGGUGGGUGAAUUACUUGAGCCCAGGAAUUUGAGACCAGCCUGGGCAACAAAGUGAAACCCCGUCUGUUUAAAAAGAAAAAAAGAAAGUGAAGGGGAGCCUGUGUGUGAAGAGAACACGUGGUGAGAGAGGAAGCAGAAGAGAGAGGGGAGGUGCCAGGCUCUUUCUAAACACCAGCUCUCUUGAGAACUAACAGAGUGAGAACUCACUCACCCCUGAGGGAGGCCAUUAAUCUAUUCAGGAGGGAUCCACUGCCAUGACCCAAACACCUCCCAUUAGGUUCCACCUCCAACAUUUGGAUCAAAUUUCAC
rnacentral:lncRNA from 10 species